GACGAACCGUGCGAACGUUAUUCGGAAUUACUGGGCGUAAAGGGCUCGUAGGCGGCCAACUAAGUCGGACGUGAAAUCCCCAGGCUCAACCUGGGAACUGCGUCCGAUACUGGAUGGCUUGAAUCCGGGAGAGGGAUGCAGAAUUCCAGGUGUAGCGGUGAAAUGCGUAGAUAUCUGGAGGAAUACCGGUGGCGAAGGCGGCAUCCUGGACCGGCAUUGACGCUGAGGAGCGAAAGCCAGGGGAGCAAACGGG
rnacentral:rRNA from 1 species